rnacentral:rRNA from 1 species
AACGUAGGUUCCGAGCGUUAUCCGGAUUUACUGGGCGUAAAGCGCGUUCAGGCGGUUUGGCAAGUCGGGCAUGAAAUCUCUCGGCUCAACCGGGAGAGGUUGUCCGAUACUGCUGGACUUGAGGGCAGUAGAGGGUGGUGGAAUUCCUGGUGUAGCGGUGAAAUGCGCAGAUAUCAGGAGGAACACCGGUGGCGAAGGCGGAUCUCUGGGCCUGUCCUGACGCUGAGGCGCGAAAGCUAGGGGAGCGAACAGG